rnacentral:rRNA from 1 species
CCUACGGGAGGCAGCAGUGGGGAAUAUUGGGCAAUGGACGCAAGUCUGACCCAGCGACGCCGCGUGAAUGAUGAAGGUCUUCGGAUUGUAAAGUUCUUUUCGUAGGGAAGAAGACCUUGACGGUACCUUAGCACUAAGCCUACGCUAACUACGAGGAAGCAGACGCGGCAAUCCGUAGGAGGCAAGCGUGAUCCGGAAUGACUGGGUGUAAAGGGUGCGUAGGUGGUUUGACAAGUUAGGAGAGAAACUCCCGAGCUCAACUUGGGAACUGCCUCUAAUACUGUUGAUCUUGAGUGCAGGAGAGGUAGGCGGAAUGCCUGGUGUAGCGGUGGAAUGCGUAGAUAUUAGAAGGAACACCAGUGGCGAAGGCGGAUUGCUAGACUAUAACUGACGCUGAGGCACGAAAGCGUGGGGAGCAAACAGGAUUAGAUACCCGAGUAGUC